ensembl:snRNA U2 U2 spliceosomal RNA
AUUACAGGCAUGACCUGGCACGCCCAGCCUAGAAUCUCUUCUCAUCAGUUUAAUAUCUGGUAUGUCCUCUAUCGGAGGACAGUAUAUUAAAUAAUUCUUUUUUGAGAUAGAGUCCCACUAUGUUGCCCUCGGCAGAGUGCUGUGGUGUCACAGCUCACAGCAACUUCAAACUCUU